GGGCGGUUAGCUCAGCGGUAGAGCAUCGGCCUUACAAGCCGGGGGUCACAGGUUCGAUACCUGUACCGCCCACCA
rnacentral:tRNA from 1 species